ensembl:lncRNA
CCCCCAGCACAGUGUUCAGCACUGGAGGGAGAAUCAAUAUUCAUUUAGGCCCCUACACAGGCCUGGUUCCUGAUGGAGUGAGUGGGAGAGCAGUACGACGGCCGAGAUACACAACGGACAACCGCUGAAAGUGGAGAGACAAAGCGCUCAUUCAUCAAAAGAUCAUCCCUCUAACGGACACACGCACACACACACGCACAAACACAGUUCUCCGAAUGCUCUUUUUUUUCCCAUUCCGCAGAGAUGAACACAAUUUUAACCAAAUUUGCGUUCACAGUGAGCAUCCACACGUCGCCUGUGAGCCAAGUUUGGCCAAAAACUGUCACGUUCUCUGUUUUGGAAAUCGGGUUUAGUGUCAGAAUGUGGUAAGUGGCGUGUGUGAGCGGUGGUGGCAAGAAGUUCCUUUUUCAAAUAGUCAAUGUAGGUGGUGCUUUCUCACCUUUUUUUGGCUCACAUCAUGUCUCUUAUCGACCAAAGAGUUCUUUUUUAAAGGUAAGAAAGGGUGGAAUCAGAGUAGUGGGAGGAAAAUCAGAAAGAAAUGUAUGAUGUAAAAAACUAGCUCUGGUUUUUUCCAAUGAUAAUCUUUGAACCCCCCCCUCCGGAUACCGAUUUGUUCUGUGAAGUGGAGCCAAUUGAUUGAACCCGAGAUGAUGGUGGUUUCUGGUGUUGAAUGAUUCCUCAUUACAGGACUUUGAAUGCGCUGUAUCACAUUUUAUCGUUUGGUCGGCGUUUGGAUAUCAUGCUCUUUUAAUACUAUAAUAUCUAUAAAUCACAUUACUGAGCUGAGUGGAGUUCGUGGCCUCCACAAACAUCCGCAGUUCCCUGUGUGCUCGACAGGAAUGUCCAUCUGCUCAUCCUACACGUCCGGCUGAGUGAUUGUGUGCAGUGUUCAGCGCAUCUCCACCCUGCUGCAUGUCACUAAUCAGGGCUGGAUGGCUCAUUAUUAACUGCAGCAGGCCACUCCUGCGACAUGGAAGGGAGAGGAAUUUAGCAGCUGUCACCCAGUGAUGAGUUCAUUUCCUGCAGGCCGCCGCUCUGAAGAGUCCUGCUGCAGCGGACCAGAAGGCCGAUGUAAACCUGCUGCUGAUGCUUAAUUGGAGAGCCAGAAAAGGGCAGGAGGAGGAGGAGGAGGAGGUGGAGGUAUUAACCGUUACUUAAUACUUUAAGUAACGGUUAAAAAAAGAGAAACCAGGAGGUUGUUUAGUUGGUUUCCCAUGCAACACAUUCAAAGCAGCUUUGUGAAGCUAGAAGUAUGUCGGAUGCUUUAAGUUCAAAAUGCUGCUCACUAUUUCUACAUCGUAGCCAUGAUUGAAUGAAAAGGGAUAACAAAGGAGGGUGGACAUAUUAUCCAAAAUAAAUACUAACGUUGUGUUGAGUGUGACCAAAAUAGGUGGAAAAGGAGCCGUACCAGCUUAGAAUGUGAUGCUGUGAGCGUUGUGUUUUCAGCUGUUCUGCCCUCCACAGCCUGAAAGGUCAAUCAAAGCACGUCUCGCAAACACUCCUCCUCUUAACGGUUCCUUUGUGUCUCCAUUUUACCUCCAGUGAACUAACUCAACAAAUAGAAAGGAUUACAGUCAUAAAUAACAGACUUUUCUUUUGUGAUGAUGUGCUUUUAUUUUUAUGAUAAUAGCUAAAUCUUAAUUUAAUAAGUAGCUACUUUGUUUCUACUCAAUAUGUAAAACAUCUACUUUGUUUCUACAGAGAGUUACUAUUAUUUUUCACCGAGAAAAGAAGGUUAGUCUGUUUAAUAGUUAGUUUUUUUUAUUACUCACUCACAUAUGGAAAACAGGUUUAUUUUAAUGAUAUAUGGACUUAUGUAAAGUUUGCAAAACGUAUUUUGUCAGAGCAAUUUAAAUAUUUGGGUGUAUGCAAUUUGAACAAGAAUGACAAAUAAUUAGUAGAAUGUGACGCAUUUGCUUUUAGUCUCAUUAUAACAUCACGAUGAUCUUGUAUGAUACCGUACGACAUCUUUGAAAUAUGAAGGAAAACAGAACCGAGACUAUAAGCCUGUUUUUGAAGUGGCGGUCAGGUCUUUUAUCGAGUGAGGCGGUCCAGUGACUCCAGUGGACGGUGGGACUCCCAGCUCGGUUCCCAGGAACUCUGAUCUGUCUCUGAAACAGCUGGAUGGACCUGGAGGCAUCUGCUUCGUGGUAGGUUCAUCCCAGUCACGUGGAUUGGCUCCAACUCAAACACACUGCAUACUGUGAUCCCGGUUUCCCCUUUCGUUCCCCACAGACUGACUUGGAAGUACUAAAGUGUGGAGACAUCCCACAUGUGGACAAACACACAAAACGACUUAACUAUACCGAGCUUCUCUGUGGUUUAGAGAUGCUUUUGUUUCUCAAAUCUAUUUAAGUGUUGCAUCUGUUUACCAUUCAAAGACGAGUUGCAUUCUACUGGAAUCACAGUUGUCGUGUUUAAGUUUAUUGCGCUCUGACUAUCCUCCCGUCGAAGUCCUGACAAGCUUUUAUGGGUACGUACCCAUAAAAGCUUGUAAAAGUUCCACGUGGUUCUGGCAUCUUGCAGGCGGAACAGCUGGUGCUAAAAAGAUUCUUGUUCUCUGUUUGUUGUUCCUCUGAGUUUGUACCCUAUGGUUGAAUGCACUGUACUUUUACUUUGUGCAGGAUAUUUACUUGUAAUGUGGUACUUUUACGUUGUGGCACUGCUGCACUGGGUGGACUGGCACACACGCGCACACACACGCACACUUAAAGGCACACUCUCGUACAUGGAAACAGAAACUUUCCCCCUCCCCGGGGGCAACUCUCAUCACUCUCCUGGGGACAACUGAGAGGGACAGCAGUGAGGAUUGGGGUCUCUUUCUCGGUCCGCUCUCUCUGCUUCCUGAGUAUGAUAAAUAUGGCAAUUCUGUUUAGUCGCCAUCUAUAGAAAACAUAUCAGCCCGGGGAUCAUUUUCUUAAUGUCCCUGCUAUUAGUUUUGGCUUCCCUUUGGCAGUAUUAGCAUGCCGGCUGAUAUGCUCUGCUUGUGUGUGUGUGUGUGUGUGUGUGUGUGUGUGUGUCCUCGGGGCUGCAGGUACAAUUCUAUUAAAGGCGACUUGUUUGUUUAUUUCCUGUCUGUCUCCCGGUACAUGUGCCCCGCUCGCCACCACUCCGAACCCCGGUGUGUGUUCACAUCGCUGCAAACGUGGACGGGCCGCCUAACGCGCCAUGUACAAUCACAAUCCAAUGUUGUUUAUUGUCAUUUUUUUGUUGUGGUUGUUUUUGCUGUAAAUCGAUAGUUGUUGGAGGCGGGGCGGGAGGGGGGUGAAGUGCAGGGGAAGCCACGGUUCAGUUACGGUUCAUCUCUUCCAUGGGAGUUGCUAUGGGAAAAC